GGGUCAGUAGGUUGGUCGUGCCACCGGUACGUACUGGUCUCACUGAUUCCUCCUUCCUGAAGAACCGUAAUGCCAUUAAUUUGGUGUUGCGGGGAAACAGGACUUUUACUUUGAAAAAAUUAGAGUGUUUAACGCAAGCUAACGCUUGAAUACAUUAGCAUGGAAUAAUGAAAUAGGACGAUCGAUCCUAUUUUGUUGGUUUCUAGGAUUGACGUA
rnacentral:rRNA from 1 species